rfam:Parcubacteria bacterium GW2011_GWA2_47_64 TY03_C0017, whole genome shotgun sequence.
GCCCUCGUCGUUCAACGGAUAGGAUGACAGAUUGCGGAUCUGUCGAUCGUGGUUCGAUUCCACGCGAGGGCA